UCGGGGAACUCCUUGAAUUCGUGUUUGUUUCGGUUUAGUCUAGAUUAACAUGAACGAGGACAAUCCCGAGGGAAGUCUUACGGAAAUGGAAAAGCACAUUGUUGAGGGUUGCCU
rnacentral:autocatalytically_spliced_intron from 2 species